UCUGAACCCGCCCUGAACACACACCUGUGGCUCAUUCACACUGAUCCUGGCAGACUACUUAAGAUGGCAAGAGAGGCUGCUUCCUCGCUGAUUGUCACACUGCCUAGCGUCAGUGUAGCCUAGCCUUUCAAAGUAUUCCUUGUGAUCCCCUAGAGUUUCCUCCUAACAUUGUUUUUCUCUGUGUACAGGCCUUCUAGAUUCCCUGCCAUCUGGAGUUCUGUGGAUGUGUGUGAGUGAGCCCAGUAGUAAAGUUGCAGAACAACAGAGGAAACAACAAAUACUCAUACACCAGCAACUCUGACGAUAACCUGCUGAAGAACAUUGAACUGUUUGACAAACUCGUCCUGCGAUUUAAUGGC